rnacentral:rRNA from 1 species
AUACGGAGGGUGCAAGCGAUAUUCGGAAUCACUGGGCGUAAAGGGUGCGUAGGCGGUUUGAUAAGUCUGAUGUGAAAUCCUAUGGCUCAACCAUAGAACUGCAUUGGAAACUGUCAGACUAGAAUACUGAAGGGGCAGAUGGAAUUAGUGGUGUAGGGGUAAAAUCCGUAGAUAUCACUAGGAAUACCGAAAGCGAAAGCGAUCUGCUGGGAAGUUAUUGACGCUGAGGCACGAAAGCGUGGGGAGCAAACGGGAUUAGAAACCCUAGUAGUCC